AGGACGAACGCUGGCGGCGUGCUUAACACAUGCAAGUCGAGCGGAAAGGCCCUUCGGGGUACUCGAGCGGCGAACGGGUGAGUAACACGUGAGCAACCUGCCCUUAGCUCUGGGAUAGCUCCGGGAAACCGGAAUUAAUACCGGAUACGACCACGGCCGACAUCUGCUGUGGUGGAAAGGAUUCCGGCUAAGGAUGGGCUCGCGGCCUAUCAGCUAGUUGGUGGAGUAACGGCCCACCAAGGCGACGACGGGUA
rnacentral:rRNA from 1 species